UACGUAGGGGGCAAGCGUUGUCCGGAUUCAUUGGGCGUAAAGAGCGUGUAGGCGGCCAGGUAGGUCGGUUGUGAAAACUGGAGGCUCAACCUUCAGAGGUCGACCGAAACCAUCUGGCUAGAGUCCGGGAGAGGAGAGUGGAAUUCCUGGUGUAGCGGUGAAAUGCGCAGAUAUCAGGAAGAACACCCGUGGCGAAGGCGGCUCUCUGGGACGGUACUGACGCUGAGGCACGAAGGCCAGGGGAGCAAACGGG
rnacentral:rRNA from 1 species